GCAGCGCGGCCGACACAUGAUGUCACACCCAGGGGAGGAAAGCGAGGACCCCAGGGUUUGAAACCAGCUCCCCAGGAGAUGCAGCCAACACAGUACCAGCGUCUCGCCAGCUCAAUUGGCUGUAAACAAACUGAGCAACAACUCAUUCUCGGGCCCGAGAUUGGAGAUGGCUACAGUCUUCUCGCACAUUGCCAACCCAACAAGACUGGCUUCUGGAGAGUGUCAGGAGGGGGAGGAAUCCGGAGAAAAAAUGCUAAGUGCUGGAAUCUGUGAUAAAGUCAGUAGAAUGUGAAGCAUUUGGAAUCAAAACAUUUGCCAGAAUUAUCCUCUGAUCCCCUGGAGAAUUUUCUGUAUGGAUAUAACAGACUAGUAUGUAAUUCCUGCAGGAGCAAUUAUUAUUUUCAUCUUUAUAAUAUUUAUGGAAAGCUAUGCAUUCACAGCACUGAACUGAAAGCUCUCCAUUUGAAUGACACACAUAGCUAGUGUCUUUCACAGCCAUGCCAACUUUAAUUUGUAUACUAAGCAAAAGCAGGGAAGUUAGUGGCUUCCAAACACUGACCUUCAGUUGUCUGUAGGAGAGGGAAUAUUCAGAAUUUGUCCUACAGAUAAUGCGCACUGGGGGUGUUAUUGCCUUUAGUUUCUAGGUUGUUGCAUACAAAACAUUAAGGAAAAUUAUACUUUUGGAACCCAUUCUUUCUCUCUCUCUGGUACAUGUACAAACACACACACACACACACACACACACACACACAGAGAGAGAGAGAUAGAGAGAGAGAGCUUGGAGUAAAGUGAGGAUGCUAUUUUAGGAUCUGUAUUUUCAAAGAAUAGCACCUCUUAGUUAUAAGCUUGUUCUGCUUGCUGUCUGUAAGUGAGAGAGCAAGUAGAACAAACAUAUAAACAAGCCAUGGUGUAGGAAGUAGAAAAGAGAUGCUAUAGGUUUGGAAUAAUGAAUAAAACAUCACCCUUACUCUUAAUAGGCUUGCAUUCUAAUGAGAUGAGAGACUGAGACACCAGAAUAGUAGUGACCAUGUUCUCCAAAUCCAAAUUUGGGAAACAUAAUCUCAAAAAAAAGGGGUGUAUUUUGUGGGGACAACUGGGCCACAUGUUUGCAAUGUCAGGGGGUGGACAGGCCAUGCCUAGAACAGAGGCUGGAGGAAAGCCAGCCCUGGGGGAGGUGUAUGUAGCUGCUACCUAGCUUCAGAGAGGAAGGCUCACAAGCACACACUCUCCCCAACACUCCCCAGGUGCAUCAAGUUCAGCCCCUGCUCAAGUGCUGCCUUAGUGGUUGCUGUGACACGCUCCAGGUCAGCUACAUGCUCCCCUGCCACCUUUUUUUAAAUUGUAGAUAGACACAAUACCUUUAUUUUAUUUAUUUAUUUACUUACUUACUUAUUCAUUUUUUAAUGUGGUGCUGACGAUUAAACCCAGUGCCUCACACAUGCUAGGCAAGCACUCUACCACCGAGCCACUACCCCAGCCGCUACAUGCUUCCCUUUUGACCUGUCAUGGGAAUUUAUGAGCCAGCUGUCGGAGCUUAGCACUUGAAGAAAUGUCCCUGAUUGAGUUCAGUCGUGUGCAAGGAAGCGGCGAAGGUGAAGAGGCUCUGACAUUUUCAGAUGGCAUCAGAAGAUUAAGUUCUACCCUAAUUUUAACUUCUAAAAUAUGAAAUUGGGUAACUUGGAUUUUGCCUCAAAA
ensembl:lincRNA